AUGUCGUUAUUGAAAAAUCCCAAGCAGGCAUGAGAAGCCAUCCCAUCCCAGUCCAGAACGAACAAAUUCAAAGACUCAUCACAAAUUUUGAAUUUCUUUCUUCUUCUUAUCCUCCUCCAAAAAGGAGACUCAAAAAGAAAAGAAAAUGGUGGGAGCGAACUUGAAAGCAGAAACAAUGAAACUGAUGGAGAAGAGAAGUGCUUUGGAAACUGAGAUGAAUGUCAUCAUCGACCGCCUCUGUCAGCCUGGCGGUCCUGGUCUCUCCGGCAACCUCGUCGAUUCUGAGGGUUUUCCUCGGUCGGAUAUUGAUAUUCCAGUCGUUAGGGCUGAACGACACCGUCUUGCCGAGCUGCGGAAUGAUCAUAAGGAGAUUACAGAGAAAAUAAAUGAGAAUAUACAAGUUCUGCAUUCAGCCAGGCUUGCAACCAAAGAUUCAGUGGUUGGCAAUGCUGUUCCAUCUGCAACUUCCCACAAUGUUGUUCUUAGAGAUUCUCCCAGUUCCAUGGAUGUGGACAUGAUGGCUAGCAUACCCUUUGCUGUGGUUUAUGAAAUUGCCGAUGCAUCCCCAACGGCAGAGGAUGGUCUGCAACUUGGAGAUCAACUUGUUAAAUUUGGUACUGUGGAAUAUCAAGUUGGUGAGAAUCUUUUGCAAAAGCUUGCUUCUGAGGCUCAGGCAAAUCAGGGUCAUGCAGUACCAGUGAUAGUUAUGAGGCAAGGUGCUCCCAUCAACUUAUCAGUGACUCCUAGAGUGUGGCCUGGCAGGGGUCUACUGGGCAAGUAAAAACAUACUCGAAUGGAACUUCUUGGAAUACCGCAAGCAGGUCUUCAAAUUGGGUUACCGCAUUCUUUGAAUAGAUGCAGUUUCCGGAUCUUAUAACUGUUUCUGGGAUAAUGGGGAAGGUGGUUGGUUGGUUUUAUUGCCAGUUGCAAGACUCUGUUUCAGAUUUCAGCAUUAAAAAUUGUUUCUUCCGCAUUCAAGAAUCAGAUAUUGGUCUAGCAAGUUUUAGUAUGCACUCAAAAUUUGUCUGACUUGAGCUUGUUUCAAAGAUGUCUAAAGAACUGCUUGAUGCUAAUUCGAUUGUCUUUGUUUUGCCUGC